AUGGAUGCCUUCCACAAGAUCUACCACAUGAACGGGCGAGGCUUCCAGUGCCUCAACGAAGCGUUUGUCACCCUGCUCCCUAAACGCGCCGAUGCGGUCUCCCUUGGUGACUACCGUCCUAUCAGCCUGAUCCACCUCAUGGCCAAGCUAGUGGCCAAGGUACUCUCCCUACGGCUGGCACCGAGGCUGGGCGAGCUUGUUUCCCCGAGCCAGAGCACGUUCAUCACCGGUCGGAGCAUCCAUGACAACUUUAUGCUCGUGCAACAGACCGCCCGCCUCCUUCACCAGAGCAAGGCCAACCGCGUCCUACUCAAGCUUGACAUUGCCCGGGCUUUCGAUGCCGUGUCAUGGCCAUUCCUCCUUGAGAUCCUGCGGCACCUUGGCUUCGGGAGGCGCUGGUGCGCGUGGAUGACGAUCCUUCUCUCCACGGCCUCCACGCGAGUGCUCGUCAAUGGCAUACCUGGGCAGCACAUCCAGCACGCGAAAGGGCUCCAUCAGGGUGACCCGGUCUCGCCAAUGCUAUUCACAAUGGUUAUCGACACCCUGAAUUCCCUGUUGCACCACGCUUUGGACGUUGGCAUCCUCCGGCAGCUCGCUCUCGCCACUUGGCUCCAAGCGUCUCACUUUACGCCGACAACGUCAUCAUUUUCUGCCACCCGGACGCGGUUGAGCUGA
rnacentral:rRNA from 1 species